UGGUCCAUAGCUCAGUUGGUAGAGCGGCUGGCUGUUAACCAGCGUGUCGUAGGUUCAAGUCCUACUGGAUCAG
rnacentral:tRNA from 2 species